rnacentral:ncRNA from 1 species
AGUACUCAGGAGAGUCUCUUUUACAGUCCUGCGCAGGUCUGCGGACCGGCAUAUCUGUAGAAGGGCGCCGAAGGUGUAAACGUUGAUGUCCGGUUUUCAGUUUCUGGCAGAAAGCGGAACAAAAACGUGAGUCUCUCAGGCAAAAGGAUGGAGGUAUAA